GACGAACGCUGGCGGCGUGCCUAAUACAUGCAAGUCGAGCGAACCAAUUGAAAGCCUAGCUUUCAUGAGGUUAGCGGCGGACGGGUGAGUAACACGUGGGUAACCUGCCCUAUAGACUGGGAUAACUCGCGGAAACGCGUGCUAAUACCGGAUAACACAUCAAAGUGCAUGCUUUGAUGUUGAAAGAUGGUUCUGCUAUCACUAUAGGAUGGGCCCGCGGCGCAUUAGCUUGUUGGUGGGGUAACGGCCUACCAAGGCGACGAUGCGUAGCCGACCUGAGAGGGUGAUCGGCCACACUGGGACUGAGACACGGCCCAGACUCCUACGGGAGGCAGCAGUAGGGAAUCUUCCACAAUGGGCGAAAGCCUGAUGGAGCAACGCCGCGUGAGCGAAGAAGGUCUUCGGAUCGUAAAGCUCUGUUGUAAGGGAAGAACAAGUGCAGUAGUAACUGGCUGCACCUUGACGGUACCUUACUAGAAAGCCACGGCUAACUACGUGCCAGCAGCCGCGGUAAUACGUAGGUGGCAAGCGUUGUCCGGAAUUAUUGGGCGUAAAGCGCGCGCAGGCGGUUUCUUAAGUCUGAUGUGAAAGCCUCCGGCUUAACCGGGGAGGGUCAUUGGAAACUGGGAGACUUGAGUGCAGGAGAGGGAAGCGGAAUUCCAUGUGUAGCGGUG
rnacentral:rRNA from 1 species